rnacentral:rRNA from 1 species
GACGAAGGGGGCUAGCGUUGUUCGGAAUUACUGGGCGUAAAGCGAGUGUAGGUGGUUGUCAUAGUCGGGUGUGAAAGCCUUGAGCUCAACUCAAGAAAUGCACUUGAUACUGGGCGACUAGAGGACCGGAGAGGAUAGUGGAAUUCCCAGUGUAGUGGUGAAAUACGUAGAGAUUGGGAAGAACACCAGUGGCGAAGGCGGCUAUCUGGACGGUUACUGACACUGAGGUGCGAAGCGUGGGGAGCAAACAGG